UACGAAGGGGGCUAGCGUUGCUCGGAAUCACUGGGCGUAAAGCGCACGUAGGCGGGUUCUUAAGUCAGGGGGGAAAUCCUGGAGCUCAACUCCAGAACUGCCUUUGAUACUGGGAAUCUCGAGUCCGGGAGAGGUGAGUGGAACUGCGAGUGUAGAGGUGAAAUUCGUAGAUAUUCGCAAGAACACCAGUGGCGAAGGCGGCUCACUGGCCCGGUACUGACGCUGAGGUGCGAAAGCGUGGGGAGCAAACAGG
rnacentral:rRNA from 1 species